UACGGAGGAGGCAAGCGUUAUCCGGAAUUAUUGGGCGUAAAGCGUCCGCAGGUGGCACUUCAAGUCUGUCGUCAAAGACUGGGGCUUAACCCUGGAAAGGCGGUGGAAACUGAAGCGCUAGAGUGUGGUAGGGGUAGAGGGAAUUCCCGGUGUAGCGGUGAAAUGCGUAGAUAUCAGGAGGAACACCUGCGGUGUAGACGGCUUACUGGACCGUAACUGACGCUGAGGCACGAAAGCGUGGGUAGCAAACAGG
rnacentral:rRNA from 1 species